UACGGGGGGGGCAAGCGUUGUUCGGAAUUACUGGGCGUAAAGGGCUCGUAGGCGGCCAACUAAGUCAGACGUGAAAUCCCUCGGCUUAACCUGGGAACUGCGUCUGAUACUGGAUGGCUUGAAUUCGGGAGAGGGAUGCAGAAUUCCAGGUGUAGCGGUGAAAUGCGUAGAUAUCUGGAGGAAUACCGGUGGCGAAGGCGGCAUCCUGGACCGACAUUGACGCUGAGGAGCGAAAGCUAGGGGAGCAAACGGG
rnacentral:rRNA from 1 species